UACGUAGGUGGCAAGCGUUUGUCCGGAUUUACUGGGCGUAAAGAGCGCGCAGGCGGUCGUCCAAGUCGCGUGUGAAAGCCCCCGGCUCAACUGGGGAGGGUCACGCGAUACUGGUCGACUCGAAGGCAGGAGAGGGUAGUGGAAUUCCCGGUGUAGUGGUGAAAUGCGUAGAUAGUCGGGAGGAACACCAGUGGCGAAGGCGACUACCUGGCCUGUUCUUGACGCUGAGGCGCGAAAGCUAGGGGAGCAAACGGG
rnacentral:rRNA from 1 species